rnacentral:rRNA from 1 species
UGGGGAAUUUUGCGCAAUGGGGGAAACCCUGACGCAGCGACGCCGCGUGGAGGAUGAAGGCCCUUGGGUCGUAAACUCCUGUCAGGUGGGAAGAAAAGCCUUCGGUAAACAGCCGAGGGUCUUGACUGUACCACCGGAGGAAGCCCCGGCUAACUCCGUGCCAGCAGCCGCGGUAAUACGGAGGGGGCAAGCGUUGUUCGGAAUCAUUGGGCGUAAAGGGCGCGUAGGCGGCCGAACAAGUCGGGUGUGAAAUCCCUCGGCUCAACCGAGGAACUGCACUCGAUACUGUUUGGCUAGAGUCCGGGAGGGGAUGGUGGAAUUCCCAGUGUAGCGGUGAAAUGCGUAGAUAUUGGGAAGAACACCGGUGGCGAAGGCGGCCAUCUGGACCGGCACUGACGCUGAGGCGCGAAAGCCAGGGGAGCGAAUGGG